GGAACAGAGAGUUCUGCUGGUAAACCUCUAAACCCAAAAUACGGUUUAGAAAUUUGGUGAUGCUGCAGUCUGGGAACAGAAAGAAUCAAAUUAUGCACCUGGGUGACUAGGAACAUGAAAUUGUUCAGCCAUGACGUCCUGUUUCAGAGGGGUGUAAAUAUGAGGGCAGUAAUUAAGAAGUUCCAGUCAACUGGAGAUGUUAAGAAUCGACCUGGAAGAGGACGUGUGACUAUAUUGUCUCCAUGCAGGGUGAGGAGGAUGGUUCGAGUGGCCAAAAAUUCUCCAAGGAUCACAGCUGGCGAAUUGCAGGAAUUAGUUGGGUCUUGGGGUCAGAAAGUCUCCAAAACUACAAUCAGAUGUCAUCUUCAUCACAACAAGUUGUUUGGGAGGGUUUCAAUAAAAAAAGCCUCUGCUCUCAUCCAACAACAAACGCAAGCAUCUUCAGUUUGCCAGACACUACUGGAACUUCAAAUGGGACCGGGUUCUAUGGUCAGAUAAAACAAAAAUAGAGCUUUUUGGAAGCAAACACCAGAGAUGGGUUUGGCGCACACAGAGAGGUAGCCAUAUGGAAAAGUACCUCAUGCCAACAGUUAAAUAUGGGGGUGGAUCUUUAAUGUUGUGGGGCUGUUUUUAUGCCAGAGGUCCUGGACAUCUUGUCUGGAUACAUGGCAUCAUGGACUCUAUCAUAUACCAACAGAUAUAAAAUCAAAACCUGACUGCCUCUGCCAGAAAGCUUAAAAUAGGCCCUGGUUGGAUCUUCCAGCAGGACACUGAUCCAAAACACACAUCAAAAUCAACACAAAAAUGGUUCACUGACCACAAAAUCAAGGUUCUGCCAUGGUCAUCCCAGUCCCCUGACCUGAACCCCAUAGAAAACCUGUGUGGUGAACUGAAGAGGGGAGUCCACCAACAUGGACCUCUGAAUUUGAAGGAUCUGGAAAAAUUCUGUAUGGAGGAAAGUCUCAGAUCACUUGCCAUGUGUUCUCCAACCUCAUUAGGCAUUAUAGGAGAAGACUCGGAGCUUUUAUAUUGGCAAAGGGAGGUUGCACAAAGUAUUGAAUAAGAGGGUGCCAAUAAUUGUGCCACACAUAUAUUUGACAAACAUAUUUGUUUUUUGAUAAAACUUGUGUUGUGUUUGCAAUUGUUUGAUAUCUAUCUGAGGAGAAUUUUGAAUGAAAGACCACAAGGAUAAACAAUAAGGAUAUAUUUUUCACAGCCUUCUUUUCUCAUAUUUACCAAGGGUGCCAAUAUUUUUGGCCACCACUGUAAAAGUAUGAAUUACAUGUAGAAUGAAUGAAGUAUUUCAAAAGAGCAGGGAUGGUUAGGGUCAGUGGUUGGUGUAUGGUGUUUGUGGGACUCAAUAAACACAAUAAACAUGCUGCAGUGACACCCCUAUACUGUAUGGUGGUAUUUAAUUGGGGUGCAAAUAGCAUCUAACACUAUUUGCCCUUACUGCAAAGAGGACGCUUUUUGUUGCUAUUUACACUAAGCAUCAAAAGUCUCCGCCUUCUGUAUUUAUUUUAUAAUUUUAAG